UACGGAGGGAGCUAGCGUUGUUCGGAAUUACUGGGCGUAAAGCGCACGUAGGCGGCUUUGUAAGUUAGAGGUGAAAGCCCGGGGCUCAACUCCGGAACUGCCUUUAAGACUGCAUCGCUUGAAUCCAGGAGAGGUGAGUGGAAUUCCGAGUGUAGAGGUGAAAUUCGUAGAUAUUCGCAAGAACACCAGUGGCGAAGGCGGCUCACUGGCCCGGAUAC
rnacentral:rRNA from 1 species